rnacentral:rRNA from 1 species
GACGAACGCUGGCGGCGUGCCUAAUACAUGCAAGUCGAACGCUUCUUUUUCCACCGGAGCUUGCUCCACCGGAAAAAGAGGAGUGGCGAACGGGUGAGUAACACGUGGGUAACCUGCCCAUCAGAAGGGGAUAACACUUGGAAACAGGUGCUAAUACCGUAUAACAAUCGAAACCGCAUGGUUUUGAUUUGAAAGGCGCUUUCGGGUGUCGCUGAUGGAUGGACCCGCGGUGCAUUAGCUAGUUGGUGAGGUAACGGCUCACCAAGGCCACGAUGCAUAGCCGACCUGAGAGGGUGAUCGGCCACAUUGGGACUGAGACACGGCCCAAACUCCUACGGGAGGCAGCAGUAGGGAAUCUUCGGCAAUGGACGAAAGUCUGACCGAGCAACGCCGCGUGAGUGAAGAAGGUUUUCGGAUCGUAAAACUCUGUUGUUAGAGAAGAACAAGGAUGAGAGUAACUGUUCAUCCCUUGACGGUAUCUAACCAGAAAGCCACGGCUAACUACGUGCCAGCAGCCGCGGUAAUACGUAGGUGGCAAGCGUUGUCCGGAUUUAUUGGGCGUAAAGCGAGCGCAGGCGGUUUCUUAAGUCUGAUGUGAAAGCCCCCGGCUCAACCGGGGAGGGUCAUUGGAAACUGGGAGACUUGAGUGCAGAAGAGGAGAGUGGAAUUCCAUGUGUAGCGGUGAAAUGCGUAGAUAUAUGGAGGAACACCAGUGGCGAAGGCGGCUCUCUGGUCUGUAACUGACGCUGAGGCUCGAAAGCGUGGGGAGCAAACAGGAUAGAUACCCUGGUAGUCCACGCCGUAAACGAUGAGUGCUAAGUGUUGGAGGGUUUCCGCCCUUCAGUGCUGCAGCUAACGCAUUAAGCACUCCGCCUGGGGAGUACGACCGCAAGGUUGAAACUCAAAGGAAUUGACGGGGGCCCGCACAAGCGGUGGAGCAUGUGGUUUAAUUCGAAGCAACGCGAAGAACCUUACCAGGUCUUGACAUCCUUUGACCACUCUAGAGAUAGAGCUUCCCCUUCGGGGGCAAAGUGACAGGUGGUGCAUGGUUGUCGUCAGCUCGUGUCGUGAGAUGUUGGGUUAAGUCCCGCAACGAGCGCAACCCUUAUUGUUAGUUGCCAUCAUUCAGUUGGGCACUCUAGCAAGACUGCCGGUGACAAACCGGAGGAAGGUGGGGAUGACGUCAAAUCAUCAUGCCCCUUAUGACCUGGGCUACACACGUGCUACAAUGGGAAGUACAACGAGUCGCGAAGUCGCGAGGCUAAGCUAAUCUCUUAAAGCUUCUCUCAGUUCGGAUUGCAGGCUGCAACUCGCCUGCAUGAAGCCGGAAUCGCUAGUAAUCGCGGAUCAGCACGCCGCGGUGAAUACGUUCCCGGGCCUUGUACACACCGCCCGUCACACCACGAGAGUUUGUAACACCCGAAGUCGGUGAGGUAACCUUUUGGAGCCAGCCGCCUAAGGUGGGAUAGAUGAUUGGGGUG